AAAAAAUGGAGGGUUGCAUUUUCAAUCGGGAGUUAUUUCAUCCUUUGAUCAAGUAACCCUUCAAACCAAGGGUUCCAGUUUCAGAAUUUCAACGUGUCUUCCAUGAGACUCAAAUGAUCUGAUAUGGGAGAUCUCCUCUGAUUCGCUCCCCGCAGUGGCUCCAAAUAUGUGGAAGAAGAAUCUAUGGACUCCCCUCUCCCCCAUUCUCCGCAGACGCUUCCCUUCAUUCUCACUCAAUUCCACUCUAAACAUCCCUUCUUCCACCAUUUUCUCUUCUCCAUGUUCCUCAACUGCCCAAUACUCUAGGGUUUUCUGGUCUUCAAGUUAUGAUUUUCUCGGGAGUCUCAAGUUUUCUCGGAAACUAUGCUCCGCGCAAUCGGCUGAGCAAGUCCAUGUCAGGUGUUGGAACUGUAAAGCUGCUGCCCAAACGACGCCAUUUCUGGCUUGCGACUCUUGUCGCAGUGUUCAACCUGUUGAUCCCUCUGUGGAUUACUUCCAGAUAUUUGGACUGGAAAAGAAGUAUGAACUUGAGGAUAAUAAUCUUGAAGGGAAGUACAAAGAUUGGCAGAAGAAAUUGCACCCUGAUCUAGUUCAUUCGAAAUCUGAGGAAGAAAAAGAGUAUGCUGCUGAACAGUCUGCCCGGGUAAUUGAUGCAUAUCAAACUCUCAGUAAGCCAUUGGCAAGGGCAAUAUACAUUUUAAAGCUUGAAGGCGUGGAUUUUGAUGAAGAGCAAACAAUUUCAGAUAUCAGCUUUCUGGCUGAGAUUAUGGAAAUCAGGGAAGCUGUUGAAGAGGCUGUGAACUCUGAGACUUUACUUCAGAUCCAGUCUCAGGUACAGGAGAAGCUGAAACACUGGUCUCAAUCCUUCUCAAAUGCAUUUCAAAGUGGGAAAUUUGAAGAAGCUGUGAUUUCUGUUCAGAGAAUGACAUAUUAUGUGCGUGUAAAUGAUGAAAUCAUGAAGAAACUCUGAUAUAGGCAGGGUAAUGAAAAUUUUCUGAUCAUGACAUCAUCUAACAAUCUACAGGCUCAAGUUUUGCAAGCAGAUGGCUCCAACAAUGAUCUUAGGAUGGAAUUUUGAUGAUGGCCUGGUCGGCAAUUCUCUCCUAUACCAUCAAGGCAAGACAAUAAACUCACUCUGAAACGGGGCUUGGGGAUGAAGAUAGUGAGGCAAACUCAAGCAUAUAUUUAUUGCAGAAAAUUCCUAUCAUGAGCUUGGAUGUCCUUUUUACAUUUUUUUCUUCUUUUUCAAAAUUUUGGAAUUCAUCCUCCGAGAAAAGAAAAAAAGAAUGAUGUGCCAAGAAAACAUGCACCAAUAAAAGAAGAGAAAUAAUGGGUCUCAUGUUGAUUUUCUGGGUUCACCUCCUGUGCUGAGGUGAAGAAAUCUGUUCCCAUAUGACAGAAAACCCUAGAUUCAUAAUCUGAUUUCUUUGCUUUUCCUA